rnacentral:rRNA from 1 species
AGUGAACGCUGGCGGUAGGCCUAACACAUGCAAGUCGAACGGCAGCACAGUAAGAGCUUGCUCUUACGGGUGGCGAGUGGCGGACGGGUGAGGAAUACAUCGGAAUCUACUUUUUCGUGGGGGAUAACGUAGGGAAACUUACGCUAAUACCGCAUACGACCUACGGGUGAAAGCUGGGGAUCUUCGGACCUUGCGCGAUUGAAUGAGCCGAUGUCGGAUUAGCUAGUUGGCGGGGUAAAGGCCCACCAAGGCGACGAUCCGUAGCUGGUCUGAGAGGAUGAUCAGCCACACUGGAACUGAGACACGGUCCAGACUCCUACGGGAGGCAGCAGUGGGGAAUAUUGGACAAUGGGCGCAAGCCUGAUCCAGCCAUACCGCGUGGGUGAAGAAGGCCUUCGGGUUGUAAAGCCCUUUUGUUGGGAAAGAAAAGCAGCAGGUUAAUACCCCGCUGUUCUGACGGUACCCAAAGAAUAAGCACCGGCUAACUUCGUG